UACGUAGGGUGCGAGCGUUAAUCGGAAUUACUGGGCGUAAAGCGUGCGCAGGCGGUUCGUUGUGUCGGCGGUGAAAGCCCCGGGCUUAACCUGGGAAUGGCCGUUGAAACUGGCGAACUGGAGUGUGGCAGAGGGGGGUGGAAUUCCGCGUGUAGCAGUGAAAUGCGUAGAUAUCGGGAGGAACACCUGUGGCGAAAGCGGCUCACUGGACCACAACUGACGCUGAGGCGCGAAAGCUAGGGGAGCAAACAGG
rnacentral:rRNA from 1 species